rnacentral:rRNA from 1 species
UACGGAGGAUCCGAGCGUUAUCCGGAUUUAUUGGGUUUAAAGGGUGCGUAGGCGGCCUUGUAAGUCAGGGGUGAAAGACGGUAGCUCAACUAUCGCAGUGCCUUUGAUACUGCAGGGCUUGAAUGUACUUGAGGUAGGCGGAAUGUGACUAGUAGCGGUGAAAUGCAUAGAUAUGUCACAGAACACCAAUUGCGAAGGCAGCUUACUAAAGUAUGAUUGACGCUGAGGCACGAAAGCGUGGGGAUCAAACAGG